rnacentral:rRNA from 1 species
AUUGAACGCUGGCGGCAUGCUUUACACAUGCAAGUCGAACGGUAAGAGGCCGCAAGGUGCUGACGAGUGGCGAACGGGUGCGUAUUGCUUCGGAGUGUGCCAAGUCGUGGGGGGUAACUACUCGCAUGAGUAGCUAGUACCGCAUACGAUCUAUGGUUGAGAGCGGGGGAGUGUAAGGCCUAGAGCGAUUGGAGCGGCCGCUGUUAGAUGAGGUAGUUGGGGGGGGAAAGGUUCACCAAGCCAACGUUUUGUAGCGGGACUGGGAGGAGGACCCGCCACACUGGGACUGAGACACGGCCCAGGCUCCUACGGGAGGCAGCAGUGGGGAAUUUUGGACAAUGGGCGCAAGCCUGAUCCAGCAAUGCCGCGUGCAGGAAGAAGGCCUUCGGGUUGGAAACUGCUUUUGUACGGAACGAAACGGCUCUGGUUAAUACCCGGGGCUAAUGACGGUACCGUAAGAAUAAGCACCGGCUAACUACGUG